CAGUAGCCGCGGUAAUACAGAGGGUGCGAGCGUUAAUCGGAAUUACUGGGCGUAAAGCGCACGCAGGCGGUUUGUUAAGUCAGAUGUGAAAUCCCCGGGCUCAACCUGGGAACUGCAUCUGAUACUGGCAAGCUUGAGUCUCGUAGAGGGGGGUAGAAUUCCAGGUGUAGCGGUGAAAUGCGUAGAGAUCUGGAGGAAUACCGGUGGCGAAGGCGGCCCCCUGGACGAAGACUGACGCUCAGGUGCGAAAGCGUGGGGAGCAAACAGGAUUAGAUACCCCUGUAGUCCCUGUCUCUUAUAC
rnacentral:rRNA from 1 species